rnacentral:rRNA from 1 species
AGUGAACGCUGGCGGUAGGCCUAACACAUGCAAGUCGAACGGCAGCACAGUAAGAGCUUGCUCUUACGGGUGGCGAGUGGCGGACGGGUGAGGAAUACAUCGGAAUCUACUUUUUCGUGGGGGAUAACGUAGGGACACUUACGCUAAUACCGCAUACGACCUACGGGUGAAAGCAGUGGAUCUUCGGACCUUGCGCGAUUGAAUGAGCCGAUGUCGGAUUAGCUAGUUGGCGGGGUAAAGGCCCACCAAGGCGACGAUCCGUAGCUGGUCUGAGAGGAUGAUCAGCCACACUGGAACUGAGACACGGUCCAGACUCCUACGGGAGGCAGCAGUGGGGAAUAUUCGACAAUGGGCGCAAGCCUGAUCCAGCCAUACCGCGUGGGUGAAGAAGGCCUUCGGGUUGUAAAGCCCUUUUGUUGGGAAAGAAAAGCAGCAGGUUAAUACCCCGCUGUUCUGACGGUACCCAAAGAAUAAGCACCGGCUAACUUCGUG